UUUACGUGGCAUUAGAAUAAAAAUAAAUUUAAAAAAUACGUGGGACCAUAUGUCAUUUGCACACAAAAAUGGUAUUGUGGAACCCACAUGUCAUCCUCCCUCUCCUUCCCUUCUUCCUCCCCUCUCUCUCCCUUACCUCUCUCUUUCCCCCCGACCUCUCUCUUCACCAGAGCGGCGGCGGCGGUCGGGAGCGGCGGCAGUGGCGAUGGGGAGGUUGGGUUCUUGAUUGGUGUCAGAUUCUUGGUUGGUUGAUGGGGUUUGUGAGGUGUGGCGCUGAGUUGGAAAGAUCCGAUAUAUACACCGGCGCGAACGGGUCGGGUCUCGCCGCCGCCGCCGCGAGGGGGGAGAUGGAUCGGGACGACGAGUGGCUGCGCCGCGCGCUGGCGGCAUUUGGAGGAGGAGGCGGCGGCGUGUGGGAGCUCGUGGAUGCCGCGCUGGCCUGUGCUGUGCACGACCGCCCCGACGAGCUUAUACGACGGUAUCGUGGAGCGGCUCUACGCCGCCGCUGGCGGCGGCUGCAGCAACUGAGUCGGAGGACGAGCUGCUGAGCUUGCUCUGCUGUUCUGUUCCCCUUGCAACAAAAGGGGAGGAGAUGAAGUUGAAGUUCCUGCUUUGUGCUUUUCCAGGAGACGGACAUCGGACGGCAUGUGAACGGCCUGCGCAAACAUCCCUCCGGUGAAGUCCAGCUACUCGCCAUCUCAUCCUCGUCUUCCUCCUCGGCCUCGCCAUGGACCGGCUCCUCGGCGGCUGCGACGGCGGCAUCGUGGCGCGAGUUCGGAUCUGGCUCCGCGACGGGGAGCACCACGGUGGUCACCGUUGCCGGCUCGACGGGCAUCUCGGCCACCGGCUGCUUCUCGUUGCCAUGGAAUCCCUCCCCACGGAGGUAGAUGCCGCCGAACCUGUACGCGUCCCGCCGGUGGAGGCCGCCGCCGGGGCGCCGCGCCAAACCGCCACCGCCGCUCCUCCGGUGAAGAGAAAAGCCGAGGGGAGAGAGAGAGAUAAGGGAGACUGUGAGAGAGGGGGAGGAAGAAGGGAAGCAGAGGGAGGAUGGCACGUGGGUCCUACAAUUUAUAUUUUUUUUAAUGAUAUACGGGUCCUAUGUAUUUUUUUUAAA